CGGCGGCCGAGCCCACCUUCCAGAGCGUGGCGCUCAUCCUCGGCUCCACGGGGAUCGUCGGCACCUCCCUCCUCGACAUCCUCCCCCGCGACGACACCCCGGGCGGGCUAUGGAAGGUGUACGCGGUCUCCCGCCGCGCGCCGCCGGCCUGGUCGACCCCGCCGCCGUCCCCCGCCGUCACGCACCUCCAGCUCGACCUCGCCGACCCGGCCGCCGUCAAGGACGCCCUCGGGCCCCUCACGGACGUCACCCACGUCUUCUACGCCGCCUGGUCCAGCCACGAGACGGAGGACCGGAACCGGGAGGUCAACGCCGGCAUGCUCCGCAACGUGCUCUCCGUCGUUGUCCCCAACUGCCCCGCGCUCGCCCACGUCUGCCUCCAGACCGGCCGCAAGCACUACGUCGGCCCGUUUGAUGUCAUCGGCAAGAUCCCCGCCCCCGACCCGCCCUACACCGAGGACAUGCCCCGCCUCGACCACCCCAACUUCUACUACGACCUCGAGGACGUGCUCUUCGACGAGGUCUCCCGCCGCGACGGCGCUGUCAGCUGGUCCGUGCACCGCCCCACCGUCAUCUUCGGAUUCUCCCCCCGCAGCGCCAUGAACGUCGUCGGCAGCCUGUGCGUCUACGCUGCCAUCUGCCGUAAGGAGGGCGCCACGCUGCGGUGGCCCGGCUGCCAGGUUGCCUGGGAGGGCUUCACGGAUGCCUCCGACGCCGACCUGGUCGCCGAGCACGAGAUCUGGGCGGCCGUCGACCCGUUCGCCAAGAACGAGGCUUUCAAUUGCAGCAAUGGGGAUGUGUUCAAGUGGAAGCAGCUCUGGCCGAUGCUGGCCGACCGCUUUGGGGUGGAGUGGGCGGGGUAUGAGGGAGAGGACAACCGGUUUUCGCUCUCCGACGCCAUGGCUGGGAAGGAGGCCGUGUGGACAGAGAUCCUCCAGGAGAACGAGCUUGUCACGACGGAGCUUGAGGAGAUCACCAGCUGGGGGUUCGUUGAUGCCAUGUUCAAUAUCGACAUCGAGCAUUUGGACAACAUGAAUAAGAGCAAGGAGCAUGGGUUCCUCGGCUUCCGUAACACCAUCAACUCCUUCAUCGCUUGGAUCGAUAAGAUGAAGGCUUCCAAGGUUGUUCCUUGAUGCUCUUAUUGUCUAGUACUCUAUUGUUCUUUACAGCGUAUGCCACCAGAUCCCAUUUUAUCUCUCAUUUAUCAAUUUGCUUCUGAAAUUAGUUACAUGCCGUUAUUUGUGCCAAUUGUUGUAAUCUAGAAUAAGCCAGAACCAAAUAAAGCUCCCAAGUUGUGAAUCGGUUUUCUUUGCCCGUCAUGUCUUCAUUGCAUUGCGAGUUGCGAGCGUUAAAUCGUUAUUUUACAUCCAUCUGAUGUUCAUUCUUGCAAAUCAGAAAGUAGUAGCACUUGUGUUUGGUAUUGUUGCCCUGUUGCUUUUAUCUUCAGAACAACCGAGAUAGUUCCCUUCACUGAGAAGGAACAAAAGGAAACCAUUUGUUUUGCUCACCUCUGUUUAUUGAUAUUGCCAUUGGAGGCAAACAUGAUGACAGAUAACAACAGCAACAUGUCCUUCUCUUGCCAAUUGUUUCCAGGAAGUUGAUCUCCCGAAGCAACAAAUAUUGUGAUGGUAGGAAAAUUUAAAUGAACAGCUAAGCUUUGCUAUGGUAGCAGAUAACAAUGGCAUCAUGAUCGUUCUACUAGUUGAUUAAGGAUUAAAAAUUAUAAGUUUUGGGUCACUGAUCACAGGAUCAGAUAACUUGCACUGCACAGUAGGUGAUGAGAAUCUGAAUAAUGUUGUCUGUUGGGUUGUAUUUUUUCUUAAUCUCUGGAUGUGUUCCUUGUGCGGCUUUCUUUGUGCUAGUGGACCGGAUGACACCGAAACAUACUAGUAUAUGCUCAAAAAUCAGUACUCUUGUAUGACAAGACAAGAUGUACAUGAAAGUGCUCUGUUAUUGUACUGGCAUUGUUAAAUCUAAGAAAAAUAUUGGACCUCUUCAUUUAUUUAUGUCCGGCCAUGUGAUUUGCACCUCUGUUAUUUAGGAGAUUGCUUGAUAUUGUGACUAGAUGGUGGAAGGAUGUAAUCUUGGUUGUAAUUUGUCAGCCUCUUUUGCCUAAUGGUUGAAAACGAAAUAAAAAUGGUAUGCAUAUACCGAAAACAAACCUCAGAGGCUCAGAUGAUCUGCACUCACACAUGCUAUGCCUUUGUUCCUAAAAAAUACGAGUCUCUUUGGUUUGCUCCAAUCUCCCAAAAACUUGAUUGCAUUCUGUUUUUAUAUACGACAACUUCUCGCCAGUACAAUGUACAAAACACAUAUGGCAGCUUCGGAACAGCCAGACAAUUUAUAAUGGUUAUAAUGGUCACACGAACAAAUGCGAUUAUUAGAUUGAUGCACACUCUGCGGGGUUGUAUCAUCACAAAAACUGUGAGUCUGAGUUUUUUAUUUAUUUACCAAAACACCAUCAACUAACUUAUCAUGUUGAUGGAGCAUGUUUUUCAUUCACAACUAAAGGAAAAAAAACGGUUAACAUCAAGAUGAGGUAUUGUCAAAUGUUGCUCCAGGGAACAAAAACAUUCAGAAUUCAAUAUUUUCUUAAUGUUAAAUCAUUAUUUUUCAUCCAUAUGUUGCUCAUUCUUGUAAGACAGAAGUAGAACUAUCUGUGUUUGGUAUUGCUGAUGUGUUGUUGUUGUCUGUAUAGUGUUGUACUUCUAAUGUUCAGAAGUGAGAUAGUUUCCUUCAGUGAAUGAGAAGAAACAGAAGCAACAAACACUGCUAUGGUACUAGCAGAAUUUCCCAUCCAUUUGUUUCCCUUUGAUUUUUAAUGCAAAUUGGAGGCGAACAUGAUAACAGAUAACAAUUGCAACAUGUCAUUUUCGUCACUGAGAAGGAACAAAAGCCAACCAUUUGUUUUGCUCACCUCUGUUUAUUCAUAGUGCAAUUGAAGGCAAAAAUGAUGACAGAUAACAAUGACAACAUGUCUUUUUCUGAUAACCUCUGCUCUUUAGAAGAUCGGUUGAUAUUGUCAUGACCUUGGUUGUGACCAACUGUCUUUCCAACAAAUGCAUUGUCAAAGGAUGUAGUUGCGGCUGUAAUUCAUCGCAGCUAAAUUGUUACCACGGGCUUCUUUUGCCAUAUGGUUGGAAAAUAAAUAAAAACGGUAUGCAUAUAGUUGGGAAUCCACAAAAACAAAGGCUAAGCUCUCCUCAUUCAGGCAUGCUAUGCCUUAGUUCCUAAAUAAUGUGACUCUCUGGUUUCCUCCAAUCUCCCAACACUUGCAUUCUGUUUUCACAUAUGACAACUUCUUGGCAGCACAAUGUACAAAACACAUAUAGUGGUUUCAGAACAGCCAGGCCAUUUAUAAUGGUUAUUAGGUCAUGCAGAACAAGUGUGAUUUUUAGAUUCAUGCACUCCCUGUGGGGUUGUUUUAUCACAAAAACAUUCAGAAAUCAUCAUUUUCUGAAUGUUAAAACAUUAUUGUCAUAUGUUUGGUAUUGUUGGCCUGUUGCUUUUGUCUUCAGACACUGAGAUAUCUUUUUCACUGACAAGGAACAAAAGGCAACCAUUCGUUUUCCUCUUCUAUGUUAAUUGUCCAAUUAGAGAAAACAUGAUGACAGAUAACAAUGGCAACAUGUCCUUUUCUGCCAAUAAUUUCCAGGAAGUUGAUCUCCAGAAGCAACAGACAUUGUGAUGACAUGAGAGGACAAUUUAAAGAACACUUUAGCUUUGCUACGGUAGCAGAUAACAAUGGCAUCAUGAUCGUUCUACUAGUUAUUUAAGGAUUGAAAAUUAUAUGUUUUGGGUCAUGGAUCACAGGAUCAGAUAACUCGCACCGCACAGUAGGUGAUGAGAAUCUGAAUAAUGCUAUCUGUUAAGUUGUAUUUUUUUAAUCUCUGGAUGUGUUCCUUGUGCGCCUUUCUUUGUGCUAGUGGACCGGAUGACACGGAAACAUACUAGUAUAUGCUCAAAAAUCAGAACGAAAAGUAUUGGAUCUCUUCAUUUAUUUAUGCCGGGCCAUGUGAUUUACACCUCUGCUCCUUAGGACAUUGCUUGAUAUUGGCAUGACCUCAAUUGUGACUAGAUUGUCGAAGGAUGUAAUCGUGGUUGUAAUUCGACGCAGCCUCUUUUCCCAAAUGGUUGAAAACAAAAACUUAGACAUGCUAUAUAGUCAGCAAUUCGCGAAAACAAAUAUGGGCCGGUCUGCGCUCACACAUGCUAUCCCUUAGAUCAUAAAAAAUACGAGUCUCUUUGGUUUCAUCCAAUCUCCCAAAAACUUACUUGCAUUCUGUUUUUAUACGUGACAACAUCUUGCCAGCACAAUAUACAAAACACAUAUGGUGGCUUGGGAACAGCCGGGCAAUUUAUAUUGGUUAUAAUGGUCACACAAAAGAAAUGCGAUUGUUGGAUUCAUGCACUCUGUGUGGGGUUGUGUCAUGACAAAAACUCUGUAUGUCAAUAAGGCUUUCCUUUUACCAAAACACCAACAAGUAAAUUGUCAUGUUGAUGGAGCAUGUUUUUUAUUCCCCCCAAAAAAUAUAAACCUUUAGCAUCAAGAUGGGGUAUUGUCAAAUGUUGCUUCAGGGAACAAAAACAUUGAGAAACAAUGUUUUUCUGAAUGUUAAAUCACUACUUUUCAUCCAUCUGUUGCUCAUCCUUGUAAGGCAGAAGUAGUAGUACAUGUGUUUGGUAUUGAUGAUCGGUUACUGUCGUCUGUAACAUGUUAUGCUUCAGCCCUCCGAACUGAGAUAGUUUGCUUCACCGAAUAAGAAGAACAAAAGGCAACCGUUUGUUUUCCUCAUCUCUGUUGAUUGGCAGCGGAAACUGGAGGCAAACAUGAUAGCAGAUAACAAUGGACACAUGUCAUUUUGAGCCAAAUAUUCUCAGGAAGUUAACCUCCAGAAGCAACAAACACUGCUAUGAUCUCUCGAAGCAACAAACACUUGCAUGAUCUCCAGAAGCAAAAUAUACUGCCAUGGCAGCACAGUUUUAGAUGAUUGGUUUAAAUUGCAAUGUCCCAUCUUACUGUAGUUUAUUUUUCAUUUCCCGCAAGGGGAAAACCAUAGAGCAAAUCUUCAAUUCAGCCUCUGGUACAAAGACAAGCUUCAACACGUAUGUACAAAUGUGACGUCGUUUGACUUGGUCUUACUAGUUCACAACGCUCUAGGGGAUUUUUUUUUUGAACCGGGCAAACCCCUUUCUUCUAGGGGAUUUUUGGAUUGAAAGAUCUGAUGUCCAGACGCUGGCUGGCACGUUUGAUUAAUUUAGACCGUUUUAAUGACUUUUCUGACAUAUAGGACCGCCUGGACAGGGCAACAUGGCAAACAAAACUGCCACAUGAGCAGAAUAUUGCAAUUUUUCAUUAGGCAUCGAUGCGUCCCUCCUUGACUGUCAGUCACGGAGUCACCAUGAAGUCGACAGCGACCUCACCGGCGACGUGUACUGCCGAUCGCUCCCCACCGUCCAGCUCUCAUCGUCGGCAACGACCCGCACCACAAACAAAACUGCCACAUGAGCCAAGUUAUCUCACAUUAUGAGCCAGGUGUCAGAAGUUUUUCAUUAGGCAUCGAUGUGUACGUGGCAUGUUUUUCAGAAAUAUGACAUCGGCCACAUAGUGGAUGGCCUUAGUUGCCUGCUGCCAUCUUCCCACCCUAGCCACGCCACCGUACCCGCAGAUCUCGCGCCGCUAUUCAUCUCCGCGCACCAUUGCCUCAGCGCUUCACCGAAGCUCACUCCUCGCGUUCUCCUCCCUGGCUCCAUGCUGCCUACAUGAAGACUAUAUUUUGUAGGAUGAAGCCUUAUGGUCGCCAACCAUAAUGCCGGCUACAAACUAUGAUAGAUUGGUAUAAACAGGCUUGAAGAAGUUGACAACGAGCUGGGCAUUGUUAAGUACGUCCUUCGCUUGUGAGGGCUAGAGGAACGAAAAAUACAGCCAAUGGCUUCACUUAGUUUGUUUUUUUCUAUUAGUCAUCCUAUGAUCGUAGGCUUCUCUUUGGUUUCUUCCAUUAUCUCAACACCUAUUUUGGCACUCUGCUGUUUUUUUCCAAUAUGGCAACUUCAUGGCACAUCAUAUACUACUAUGACAGAAAUUUGUAGGAGUAAAGAUCUUGGAACCUUUGGUAACUUAUAAUAGCGAGGUCACACAAAACAAAUGCAACUUCCACAUUCAUGCAAUCCCUGUGUCAAAUAUUACAGGAACUGUUAUUCAUGCAUUUCCUGUCCUCGCGUCAACCUUUUAAACUCUGUGCCACGAGGUAUAAUUAGUAUUUUUUUUUCUACUGAAAGUGUAACUCUACUCUUGAGCACAAAUGCACCAGCAUGAACAAUGAAUUAUAAAACAAACGAAAAAAAACCGAUUGUUUUUUCUGGAUGAACAUCAACAAAUUUCCAACACACUGCGACAUUUCGCUUUGAAAAGUCAUCUGUAGAGGUGUGUGUGCAAAAAAAUAAAUAUAAAUGAGUGCUCCAAAAUGCAUCUUUUUUUUAGUCCCAAAUUUUAUCUUUUUGUACAAGCCUCCACGAAUGUCUUUUCAAAGUGAAAUUUUGCAAGAUGUUAGAACUUUUGUGGAUGUUCAUACACAAAGAAUUCAGAUAUUUUUGAAGGCUUUAGUCUUGAAACGUUGUUUUUUAGUAGCGCAUCAUUCAAAGUAGAUUUGAGCUAUAAAGCAUGAUCCUGUAGUACAAAUCGCAUGAUUCAGCUAUUUUUGAUCAAUAAGUGAACACCUCGCCAUGUCCAACUAGACCAUGGAGGCAUGCGUUGCUGCACCCAUCCAUCUUAAGGGAAAUAGUGAUGGAAGUAUGUGAGAAAUACAGAGUUAUAGUAACAUGUAAUCUAUUGUGAAUGGUUCACAUAUUGUACAUACACAUAGACAUCGAGGCAUACUUGCUUACCAAUUUUGAAUGCCAUCAUCGAAGGAAAUACUAAAUGACUGAUGACUAUGGUCAUAGCAUAACAAGUAAAUACAAAAUAAAGAUCAAAAUUGCAUUACAAUAAGUUCUUACGAUAAACACCUUAAUAAUGUCAAUGCAUAUCAGGAUGCAUUUUGCUUUAUGACUUGAAAAAACCAACAUUGUGACACGGGGAGAAAACUUUCCCUUUUUCAUUAUGUGUUCUUUUCAUUCUAAUAAAGGUAUAUCCUGCAGUUGUGCAGGACAAAAACAGAAAAUUCAUUGUUAUUUAUGACACAAAAAAUGUUUUAGACAUACCUCAAGUGUGAAGAUAGAAAUGGUACACAAACUAGCUGACUCUUCCCUGCAAGAGAAUCAUAAAACAUUUGUUCUCCUUCAAAGGGAAUGAUUCUAGCUAGCAUGUAGAGCCAAUGUAAAUAUAUUGAAUUAUAAAUUGUCGGUGAUUCAGAAAAAAAGUAGCACACACUAGCGAGCCAUGGUGUUAGAAUUCGAUGCACAACUCGUAACAUGGUGUUAGAACUUAGGGUUUUUUCUCGUACCCACAACUCGUGCUCUC
rnacentral:lncRNA from 1 species